GACGAACCGUGCGAACGUUGUUCGGAAUCACUGGGCUUAAAGGGCGCGUAGGCGGUCUGCCAAGUCAGGGGUGAAAGCCUCCAGCUUAACUGGAGAAGUGCCUUUGAUACUGGCGGACUCGAGUGAGGUAGGGGUAGUGGGAACUUCCGGUGGAGCGGUGAAAUGCGUUGAUAUCGGAAGGAACGCCGGUGGCGAAAGCGCACUACUGGACCUCUUCUGACGCUGAGGCGCGAAAGCCAGGGGAGCAAACAGG
rnacentral:rRNA from 1 species